UGGGGAAUUUUGGACAAUGGGGGCAACCCUGAUCCAGCCAUGCCGCGUGCGGGAAGAAGGCCUUCGGGUUGUAAACCGCUUUUAGCCGGGAAGAAAAGGCGAUUCCUAAUAGGGGUCGUUGUUGACGGUACCGUCGGAAUAAGCACCGGCUAACUACGUGCCAGCAGCCGCGGUAAUACGUAGGGUGCGAGCGUUAAUCGGAAUUACUGGGCGUAAAGGGCGCGUAGGCGGCCACCGCAAGUCGACUGUGAAAUCUCCGGGCUUAACCCGGAAAGGUCAGCCGAUACUGCGGGGCUAGAGUGCAGAAGGGGCAACUGGAAUUCUCGGUGUAGCGGUGAAAUGCGUAGAUAUCGAGAGGAACACCUGCGGCGAAGGCGGGUUGCUGGGCUGACACUGACGCUGAUGCGCGAAAGCUAGGGGAGCGAAC
rnacentral:rRNA from 1 species